GGAGAGCACUUGGACUCUGUUGUUUCCCACAAACUUGGCCUUUUUCCCAACUUGUUGGAUCUGGAUAUAGUCCGGGCAAACUGGAGCCCAACGUGUGCCUCUGGGUCUGGGGUCUGAGAGAAAAUACUCUUCUCACUUAUCCACUGCUUUGCCAAGAAGUGAGUGAAAGUUCGCACCACGUCGCCACUUGUUCAAGAGACAUACAACUAGCAUAAUUGUUCCCCCAAGGGCUUCACCAAGCAGCAGACUGAAACAGAUGAAGAUACCCAUAUCCAAAUAUUGGAUGGAGCUUGGCAAGUAUUACUGAAAAGUUGAGGGGAGAAUU